rnacentral:rRNA from 1 species
AUGCCUUACACAUGCAAGUCGAACGGCAGCGGGGGUAGCUUGCUACCUGCCGGCGAGUGGCGAACGGGUGAGUAAUACAUCGGAACGUGCCCUGUAGUGGGGGAUAACUAGUCGAAAGACUAGCUAAUACCGCAUACGACCUGAGGGUGAAAGUGGGGGACCGCAAGGCCUCAUGCUAUAGGAGCGGCCGAUGUCUGAUUAGCUAGUUGGUGGGGUAAAGGCCCACCAAGGCGACGAUCAGUAGCUGGUCUGAGAGGACGAUCAGCCACACUGGGACUGAGACACGGCCCAG